CAGUAGCCGCGGUAAUACGAAGGGGGCUAGCGUUGCUCGGAAUGACUGGGCGUAAAGGGCGCGUAGGCGGCGAUCAAAGUCAGGCGUGAAAUUCCUGGGCUCAACCUGGGGGCUGCGCUUGAUACUUGGUUGCUUGAGUGGGGAAGAGGGUCGUGGAAUUCCCAGUGUAGAGGUGAAAUUCGUAGAUAUUGGGAAGAACACCGGUGGCGAAGGCGGCGACCUGGUCCUUGACUGACGCUGAGGCGCGAAAGCGUGGGGAGCAAACAGGAUUAGAUACCCCCGUAGUCCCUGUCUCUUAUAA
rnacentral:rRNA from 1 species